GGAACUUGAAUUGUUGUCAUGACUCAUCACUAUAAUCUUAUUCUAAUACUUUCUUCCGGCUUCUCAGUGCUUCUCUUUGCUUUAUUUCCAUCUUCUUCAAUCUUCAUAUUGGACAGAUGUCGGUCGAUACGGAUAAGCAUGCUGCGUCACCUCAUACGCACUCGAUUACCAUUUCCAGUUCCAAGAGCGCCCUCUCUUCCUCAACCUGUUGCCUCCCCGCUUCUUCUGCUUAAGCAUUUCAAUCCCCGCUGUUCCGUCAUCUCAGACCCAACUCCUCCGACCACUCACUCUCCAACUCACACCCACACCCACACCCACACCCACGCCCACAUGGAUCCUAAUCCUACAGGCUCCAUCGUCUUCUCCACUCUUGAUAGGCCCCAUUACGGAUUCGACCUCUUCUCUGUCGAACUCGGUCCCGCCACCACUGUCGGUUCCGAGCGUCGCCUCACCGAUGCCAUCUCCAUCAACUUCAACGGUCAGUUCGUCGACGAUGAUCAGACCCUCGUAUUCAUCUCCGAGCGAACCGGAUCUUCCCGUAUCUACUUGUCUCGACCUGGAUUCUCCAGUCCUAAACCACUUCCUUAUAUACCCACUAGCCUCUUCCACGACCGCCCCGUCAUCCACAACGGCCGUCUCUACUUCAUCUCAGCCCAUGAGCAACCCGAUCGACCUUUCAAAAGCUGGUGCGCUCUCUACUCGACACGGGUCGAUGAGUUGGAUGUUACUCGGCUCACCCCGUACGGUACUGUCGAUUACAGUCCCGCUGUUUCUCGGUCCGGUGAAUUCAUCGCCGUUGCGUCAUACGGGUCUAGACCUUGGGACGGUGAGUUCUUCGAGCUUCACACCAAUAUAGUUGUGUUUCCACAAUCCGACCCGAAUAACCGGGUGACCGUGUGCGAACGUGGCGGCUGGCCCGCUUGGUCUGGGGACUCCACUAUCUACUUUCAUCGCGAAGCGGAGGAUGGUUGGUGGAGCAUUUUUAGGUUGGAUCUGCCGGAAAAUCUCGAGCUUUCUUCGGAACUUCAUAACACUGUCACUCGGGUCACCCCUCCGGGGCUCCAUUGCAUCACACCGGCCGCCUUGCACGACGGUAAACGGAUCGCUGUUGCGACCCGCCGGUGUGAAAGGGAGUUCAGACACAUUGAGAUUUUUGACACUGAAUCGAAGACAUUCUCCCCAGUGACGGAGUCGCUGAAUCCGAAUAUAAACCACUACAACCCUUUUGUCUCUUCCGGUUCCCGGUUCCUUGGGUACCAUCGGUUCCGAGGUGAGUCACUAGAAGGCGUGUCGACGAUACCAUAUAUCGAGUCAAUUAUGUCUCCGAUUAAGCAACUCCGAAUGUUCAGGAUAAACGGCUUUUUCCCUGCUUAUUCUGCCGACGGUAAGUAUAUCGCGUUCAAUUACGACUUUGGUUCGAAUUCUAGCCUAAAGAUACUAAAAUCGGACGGUACGAAGCGGUGGACCCUAAUCAAGGGCCGUACAGCGUUUGGCAACUCGUGGAGCCCCGCAGAGAAACACGUUAUAUACACAUCGUUAGGGCCUAUAUUCAGGUCAGUGACAGAGACGGUCCAGAUCGCACGGGUCGAAUUCAACCCGGCAGAUCUGGACGGCGAUGGUGAGGACGUGAAGUGCGACGUGAAGAUUUUAACCAAAGAGGAGACGGGGAAUAACGCCUUCCCGGCCUGUUCACCGGACGGCAAGUCCGUUGUGUUCCGGUCUGGAAGGUCUGGGCACAAAAAUUUGUACAUAGUGGACUCUGUCGAUGGCGAGUUCAAUGGCGGAAUACGUCGGCUAACGGAGGGCGCGUGGAUCGAUACCAUGCCCAGCUGGUCACCUAAAGGAGAUCUCAUUGCGUUUUCAUCCAAUAAACACAAUCCGGACAACAGCCGAAAGUUCGGCCUUUACGUCGUCAAACCCGACGGCUCCGAUCUGCGUAGGAUAUAUGUGGCGGGACCUGAGGGUUCGAAUGAAGCUGACAUGGAGAGGAUCAACCACGUCUGCUUUAAUAAGGACGGGGAGUGGCUGCUGUUCACGGCUAACUUUGGCGGGGUGUCGACGGAACCUGUGUCGUGGCCCAAUCAAUUUCAGCCAUACGGCGAUUUGUACGUGGUGAGGUUGGACGGGAGUGGACUGAGGAGGCUGACUUGUGAUGGGUACGAGAACGGGACGCCAGCAUGGCACUCGGGGGAUGAUGAUGAGCUGGACAUGGGACGCUUGACUCUGGGAAGCGAGGUUGGUGGGGAUCAGCUAAGAGGGGAGUUUAGGGAGCUACGUUGGCUCUCUUGUGAAUUUGUGAAGCAGUAGACUUUAGUCUAUUACUGCGCAAGGAAAUUGCCAUUUCAGUAGAAACAUGUUCUGCAACUUCUGGAGAACUUGGAAGAAUCUAGGGCAUUGAAGAAUGCUAUAGGGAGGAGAACAGUGUGACUAUGAGGGGGCAUAUGAGGAUGAGCAAAAUGGCUAACUCACAAAACCACGGUACUUUCUUGAGCUUACAUGUACAGACACUGUACAAUUUUGAAGGUCGAUUUUAUUUCAUGAAUGCUAAAAAUUGCUACUCCAGCUUCUUUUAUGCAGCUAGUGGUUAGGUUAGGUUAGGUUAAUUAUACUACUAAGAGAGGGAGUGUCGAAGUUUUGGUGAUAAUGGUGGUAGUGGAAAUAGUGCUAAGAUUAUACUUUGGGUGGUGAUGGUUUAGUGUGGAUGGUGUAUACUAUUGAGUGGCAGCUUCACUGCUUGUGGUAGAGUUGGCAGUGAAGGGUGGUGUGUUUAAUGUCCCUUCACCCUAACACGGUAGAUACGGUUGUGGAUCCAAAAGUGGUAGAAUUGGUAGUAGCAUACCUUCCAUGUCAAGAGCAAGAGACAAGUGACGGCUUUCCUUGUACUAUAAGUCUAGUUGAUCCAGUUGAUUAUGCUCGUGCUCAUGAUUGGGAUUAAGUUUAUGCCAUGAGGUUCGGUUCCUUAUCUAGAAAGCAUAUCUGGAUAUAUAUACCCAUAGGGAGCGCUCCUUUAACUGUUAUUUGGUAAAUGUCUCACUAGGCCUGCAACAGACAGCAUUUCAUUAGAACAUUUCCUGUCCAGACGAGGUUGAAUACUACGGUGAUAACCAAAAUUUGAGAAGCUGUAGCAACAUGUUGGCAUCAUCUUUGCCAGUGGAAACACUUCAGGUAAUAAAUUUCUCCGGCCUUCAAUAUGUCUCCCACCUUACGAUUAUGUUAAAUCGGCCACAAAAAUGGGUUUAAAUUUGGAGGGGAAAAAGAAAAGAAAAAAGGUCAGUGCAAAUAUAAGGGUAAUAUGGAAAAGCUAAACUGAUACAUGUUUUCAUUUUUGAAAAAUCUCAUAAUUUUAGGACGAGUCAAAAAGGGAAUCACCGUCAUGUAAGAAAUAUGGACGGAGUGGGUAUAUAUUAGUAGCAGCUGGUCAUGUAUUUCAUUUGUAGAUAACCAUCAUUGUGAAUUAACUAGUUCUGCAACUCUGGCCACCUUUCGGAUGACAAAAAGUCUAUCUCAAGUUGGGAUCACCAAGGAAGAACUCCUUGCAAUUACGUGGUUCACCGGCUUGGAAGUAAUGCUGUUCAUGGUUCAGGUCUUCCUAAUAAUAUUACUUAUCAUUUUGAGCAGCAAUCAAUGAGAGAAUUUAGUAGGAAAUAAGGUUAGUAUCUGAUCCUUGAGGAGGACCUAAACCCUGCCCAAAAAGUUUUCCUGCAUUUUGAUCCCUAAUUCUUCACAGUUCCAAAUUUCAACUGUGUAAAAGCUGAUGGUAGAAAGGUUCAAAGAUUGGUAUGGAGUUUGGUUUCACUUUCAGAAACUUCGAGAGAGUAGUUAUUCAUAUUGUUUUAAGAAAUAAUAUACCCUUUUCCAAAGAAAUAUUUUCCCUU